AUGACCUCAUGUCAUAACAUUUAUGCUGACUUCAACAUGUCUGUGAUGCUAAAAGAAAGGCCAGAAUUAGUGUAUAGAUCAAUGUCAAAGCAUUCAUAUGAAUGUGGAGAUCUUGGAUCAUUGGGAAGCAGAGUGCACUUCUUAUCUCAAGAGCAAUUGUAUGGGUUUUCUAUAUCUGGUUUAAAUGUAAGAUGGACUUCUUAUUAA